UACGUAGGGGGCAAGCGUUGUCCGGAAUCAUUGGGCGUAAAGAGCGCGUAGGCGGCCCUGUAAGUCCGCUGUGAAAGUCAAGGGCUCAACCCUUGGAUGCCGGUGGAUACUGCAGGGCUAGAGUCCGGAAGAGGCGAGUGGAAUUCCUGGUGUAGCGGUGAAAUGCGUAGAUAUCGUAAGGAAGACCAGUGGCGAAGGCGGGUCUCUGGACAGUUCCUGACGCUGAGGCACGAAGGCCAGGGGAGCAAACGGGG
rnacentral:rRNA from 1 species